rnacentral:rRNA from 1 species
GACGAACGCUGGCGGCGUGCCUAAUACAUGCAAGUCGAGCGAAGUUUUUCUGGUGCUUGCACCGGAAAAACUUAGCGGCGAACGGGUGAGUAACACGUAAAGAGCCUGCCUCAUAGACUGGGACAACUAUUGGAAACGAUAGCUAAUACCGGAUAAUAGCAUUAACUGCAUGGUUGAUGUUUAAAAGUUGGUUUUGCUAACACUAUGAGAUGGCUUUGCGGUGCAUUAGCUAGUUGGUGGGGUAAAGGCCUACCAAGGCGACGAUGCAUAGCCGACCUGAGAGGGUGAUCGGCCACACUGGGACUGAGACACGGCCCAGACUCCUACGGGAGGCAGCAGUAGGGAAUCUUCCGCAAUGGGCGAAAGCCUGACGGAGCAACGCCGCGUGAGUGAAGAAGGAUUUCGGUUCGUAAAGCUCUGUUGUUAGGGAAGAAUGAUUGUGUAGUAACUAUACACAGUAGAGACGGUACCUAACCAGAAAGCCACGGCUAACUACGUG